rnacentral:rRNA from 1 species
AACGAACGCUGGCGGCAUGCCUAACACAUGCAAGUCGAACGAGAUCUUCGGGUCUAGUGGCGCACGGGUGCGUAACGCGUGGGAAUCUGCCCUUUGGUUCGGAAUAACAGUUGGAAACGACUGCUAAUACCGGAUGAUGACGAAAGUCCAAAGAUUUAUCGCCAGAGGAUGAGCCCGCGUAGGAUUAGCUAGUUGGUGUGGUAAAGGCGCACCAAGGCGACGAUCCUUAGCUGGUCUGAGAGGAUGAUCAGCCACACUGGGACUGAGACACGGCCCAGACUCCUACGGGAGGCAGAAGUGGGGAAUAGUGGAAAAUGGGCGAAAGCCUGAUCCAGCAAUGCCGCGUGAGUGAUGAAGGCCUUAGGGUUGUAAAGCUCUUUUACCCGGGAUGAUAAUGACAGUACCGGGAGAAUAAGCUCCGGCUAACUCCGUGCCAGCCGCCGCAGUAA